CCAAUAGUGUAUAUUAAAGUUGUUGCAGUUAAAAAGCUCGUAGUUGAAUUUCGGGAUCAGUUCGCUGGUCGUGCCUCUGGUAUGUACUGGUGUUACUGGUUCCUCCCUUCUGACGAACUAUCAUGUCAUUUAUUUGGUGUGGCAGGGAAUCAGGACUGUUACUUUGAAAAAAUUAGAGUGUUUAAAGCAGGCUCGCGCUUGAAUACAUUAGCAUGGAAUAAUGAAAUAGGACGUUCGAUCCUAUUUUGUUGGUUUCUAGGAUUGACGUAAUGAUUAAUAGGGAUAGUUGGGGGCAUUAGUAUUCAAUUGUCAGAGGUGAAAUUCUUGGAUUUAUUGAAGACUAACUACUGCGAAAGCAUUUGCCAAGGAUGUUUUCAUUAAUCAAGAACGAAAGUUAGGGGAUCGAAGACGAUCAGAUACCGUCGUAGUCUUAACCAUAAACUAUGCCGACUAGGGAUCGGAUGAUGUUAUUUUUAAUGACUCAUUCGGCGCCUUACG
rnacentral:rRNA from 1 species